AGUUCGAUUCUGGCUCAGAUUGAACGCUGGCGGGAUGCUUUACAUGCAAAGUCGAACGGCAGCACGGACUUCAGUCUGGUGGCGAGUGGCGAACAGGUGAUAAUGUAUCGGAACGUGCCUAAUGCGGGGGACCAACUACGCGAAAGCGUAGCUAAUACCGCACAUACGCCCUUCGGGGAAAGCGAGAACCUUCGGGCCUCGCACUUAUUAGAGCGGCCGAUAUCGGAUUAGCUAGUUGGUGGGGCUAACGGCUCACCAAGGCGACGAUCCGUAGCUGGUUUGAGAGGACGACCAGCCACACUGGGACUGAGACACGGCAGACUCCUACGGGAGGCAGCAGCGAGGUACGGACAAUGGGGAAACCUGAUCCAGCCAUCCCGUAAUGCGAUGAAGGCCUUCGGGUUGUAAAGCACUUUUGGCAGGAAAGCAGCGGGAUAAUACCCCGUGCAAUACCUGCAGAAUAAGCACCGGCUAACUACGUGCCAGCAGCCGCGGUAAUACGUAGGGUGCAAGCGUUAAUCGGAAUUACUGGAGCUAAAGCGUGCGCAGGCGGUUCGGAAAGAAAAGAUGUGAAAUCCCUUUAGCCCGGUGUUGAUGGAACUGCAUUUUUAACUACCGAGCUAGAGAGAGUGUGUCAGAGGUGGAAUUCGCGAUAAUAGCAGUGAAAUGCGUAGAUAUGCGGAGGAACACCGAUGGCGAAGGCAGCCUCCUGGGAUAACACUGACACUCAUGCACGAAAGUCGGGAGCAAACGGGAAGUUAGAUACCCUGGUAGUCCACGCCCUAAACGAUGUCAACUAGCUGUUGGGGCCUUCGGGCCUUGGUAGCGCAGCUAACGCGUGAAGUUGACCGCACAGGAGGUACAGUCGCAAGGUAAAACUCAAAGGAAUUGACGGGGACCCGCACAAGCGGUGGAUGAUGGAUAAUUCGAUGCAACGCGAAAACCUUACCUACCCUUGACAUGUCUGGAAUCCCGAAGAGAUUUGGGGAGUGCUCGCAAGAGAACCGGAACACAGGUGCUGCAUGGCUGUCGUCAGCUCGUGUCGUGAGAUGUUGGGUUAAGUCCCGCAACGAGCGCAACCCUUGUCAUUAGUUGCUACGAAAGGGCACUCUAAUGAGACUGCCGGUGACAAACCGGAGGAAGGUGGGGAUGACGUCAAGUCCUCAUGGCCAUAUGGGUAGGGCUUCACGUCAUACAAUGGUCGGGACAGGGGUCGCCAACCCGCGAGGGGGAGCCAAUCCCAGAAACCCGAUCGUAGUCCGGAUCAUGAUCUGCAACUCUGACUGCGUGAAGUCGGAAUCGCUAGUAAUCGCGGAUCAGCAUGUCGCGGUGAAUACGUUCCCGGGUCUUGUACACACCGCCCACACCAUGGGAGUGGGUUUACCAGAAGUAGUUAGCCUAACCGUAAGGAGGGCGAUUACCACAUUAGGAUUCAUGACUGAGGUGAAGUCGUAACAAGGUAG
rnacentral:rRNA from 1 species